GUGGGAAUAUACUGUGACUGUGUGUCCUAAUUGUAUACUUGUCUGUCCCUUGUCACAGUCUCCCAUUUGGUCCCCUAGGGGAGUGUCCACCAGGUGGGAGACCUGCAUAAAAGCCGGGCAGGUAGCCCUCAUUAAACAGACCACUGCUUGACCCUCAACGCGGAGCCUUGUCUCGUCUUUGGGGGGAUUUACUGUAUGCUGCUAAGGACUGAUUGCCAG